UACGCGAGCUGGGUUUAGAACGUCGUGAGACAGUUCGGUCCCUAUCUGCCGUGGGCGCUGGAGAACUGAGGGGGGCUGCUCCUAGUACGAGAGGACCGGAGUGGACGCAUCACUGGUGUUCGGGUUGUCAUGCCAAUGGCACUGCCCGGUAGCUAAAUGCGGAAGAGAUAAGUGCUGAAAGCAUCUAAGCACGAAACUUGCCCCGAGAUGAGUUCUCCCUGAGACUUAAAGUCUCCUGAAGGAACGUUGAAGACGACGACGUUGAUAGGCCGGGUGUGUAAGCGCAGCGAUGCGUUGAGCUAACCGGUACUAAUGAACCGUGAGGCUUAACCUUAC
rnacentral:rRNA from 1 species